rnacentral:snRNA from 1 species
CACCGCACGUCGCGUGGUGU